GCAGACACAUUCCAGCCAAUCAGCAGCAGACCCUCCCUCCCAGACCCUCCCACCCCCUGGACAGCAUCCAUUUUACAUUCAUUGUGAAGCUGCAUUCUUAGUGAGCUGUCCAGGAGGUGGGAGGGUCUGGGAGGGAGGGUCUGCUGCUGAUUGGCUGGAAUGUGUCU